rnacentral:rRNA from 1 species
GGUAACCUGCCUUAUAGUGGGGGAUAGCCUUUCGAAGGAAGAUUAAUACCGCAUAAGAUUGUAGUAUCGCAUGAUAUAGCAAUUAAAGGAGCAAUCCGCUAUAAGAUGGACCCGCGUCGCAUUAGCUAGUUGGUGAGGUAAUGGCUCACCAAGGCGACGAUGCGUAGCCGACCUGAGAGGGUGAUCGGCCACAUUGGGACUGAGACACGGCCCAGACUCCUACGGGAGGCAGCAUG